rnacentral:tRNA from 1 species
GCCUGGUUGGUUCAGUCGGCUAACCGUCUGACUUCGGCUCGGGUCACGAUCUCUUGGUUUGUGGGUUCGAGCCCCGCAUCAGGCU